GGAGGGAUGCCCGAGUGGUUAAAGGGGACGGACUGUAAAUCCGUUGGCUAUGCCUACGCUGGUUCAAAUCCAGCUCCCUCCACCA
rnacentral:tRNA from 1 species